AUGACGCAUAACUGGUUUGAGAGGAUGAUCAGUCACACUGGAACUGAGACACGGUCCAGACUCCUACGGGAGGCAGCAGUGGGGAAUAUUGCACAAUGGACGAAAGUCUGAUGCAGCAACGCCGCGUGGAGGAUGACACAUUUCGGUGCGUAAACUCCUUUUAUAUAAGAAGAUAAUGACGGUAUUAUAUGAAUAAGCACCGGCUAACUCCGUGCCAGCAGCCGCGGUAAUACGGGGGGUGCAAGCGUUACUCGGAAUCACUGGGCGUAAAGAGCAUGUAGGCGGAUUAAUAAGUUUGAAGUGAAAUCCUAUAGCUUAACUAUAGAACUGCUUUGAAAACUGUUAGUCUAGAAUGUGGGAGAGGUAGAUGGAAUUUCUGGUGUAGGGGUAAAAUCCGUAGAGAUCAGAAGGAAUACCGAUUGCGAAGGCGAUCUACUGGAACAUUAUUGACGCUGAGAUGCGAAAGCGUGGGGAGCAAACAGGAUUAGAUACCCUGGUAGUCCACGCCCUAAACGAUGUACACUAGUUGUUGUGAGACUUGAUCUUGCAGUAAUGCAGUUAACACAUUAAGUGUACCGCCUGGGGAGUACGGUCGCAAGAUUAAAACUCAAAGGAAUAGACGGGGACCCGCACAAGCGGUGGAGCAUGUGGUUUAAUUCGACGAUACACGAAGAACCUUACCUGGACUUGACAUAGUAAGAACUUUCUAGAGAUAGAUUGGUGUCUGCUUGCAGAAACUUAUAUACAGGUGCUGCACGGCUGUCGUCAGCUCGUGUCGUGAGAUGUUGGGUUAAGUCCCGCAACGAGCGCAACCCUCGUCCUUAGUUGCUAACAGUUCGGCUGAGAACUCUAAGGAGACUGCCUACGCAAGUAGGAGGAAGGUGAGGACGACGUCAAGUCAUCAUGGCCCUUACGUCCAGGGCUACACACGUGCUACAAUGGGAUAUACAAUGAGCCGCAAUACGGUGACGUGGAGCAAAUCUUAUAAAAUAUCUCCCAGUUCGGAUUGUAGUCUGCAACUCGACUACAUGAAGUUGGAAUCGCUAGUAAUCGUAGAUCAGCUAUGCUACGGUGAAUACGUUCCCGGGUCUUGUACUCACCGCCCGUCACACCAUGGGAGUUGAACUCAUUCGAAGCGGGGAUGCUAAAGUAGCUACCUUCCACAGUGGAUUCAGCGACUGGGGUGAAGUCGUAACAAGGUAACCGUAGGAGAACCUGCGGUUG
rnacentral:rRNA from 1 species